rnacentral:rRNA from 1 species
UACGUAGGGUGCAAGCGUUGUCCGGAAUUAUUGGGCGUAAAGAGCUCGUAGGCGGUCUGUUGCGUCGGCUGUGAAAACCCGGGGCUCAACUCCGGGCCAGCAGCCGAUACGGGCAGACUAGAGUUCGGCAGGGGAGACUGGAAUUCCUGGUGUAGCGGUGAAAUGCGCAGAUAUCAGGAGGAACACCGGUGGCGAAGGCGGGUCUCUGGGCCGAUACUGACGCUGAGGAGCGAAAGCGUGGGGAGCGAACAGG